rnacentral:rRNA from 1 species
GACGUAGGGCGCGAGCGUUGUCCGGAUUUAUUGGGCGUAAAGAGCUCGUAGGCGGCUUGUCGCGUCGUCCGUGAAAACUUGGGGCUCAACCCCAAGCUUGCGGUCGAUACGGGCAGGCUAGAGUUCGGUAGGGGAGACUGGAAUUCCUGGUGUAGCGGUGAAAUGCGCAGAUAUCAGGAGGAACACCGGUGGCGAAGGCGGGUCUCUGGGCCGAUACUGACGCUGAGGAUCGAAAGCCAGGGGAGCAAACGGG